UUGAUAUUACUUUAGUGAUGAUUUUAAUAAUGUUAUCGGUGUGUUCAAUUAAAAAAGUGUAUGCAAUUAAGCUUACUAUAAUGAUCCUUCCGCAGGUUCACCUACGGAAA
rnacentral:misc_RNA from 1 species